UAUCUUCAGUCAAAUUUAAUCAUCAAUUUUAUGGUGGGGUCCUAAUAUUCUGUUAGAGGAAAUUAUGAUAAAAAAUUGUAAUUAACCGUUACAAAUGCAAUUGGUGCAUAGACUGAAUCAUGGUUGGUGAUUAUUUUUUGCAUCUUUUGGCGAAAGAGAACGUCGUAAUACCUGAGCUCUAACGUCACACCUAUAAGGUCUAAUCCUUGUGCUAUCUUCCAUUUUUUAUGCGUCACUCAGGCAACCGUUUGAACCAAACCGUGUGAGAGAUUACGUCACUGGAGACUAUUAAAAAAAAAAUCAAAAGCCAUUUGAACAGAUCCAUAAAUAAUGAUGUCAUCGCUACAAUUCUUGCAAUUAAUUCUACUUUUGUCCCAUCUCCAAAAAAACAUUUUUUAUUUCUUUGCUCAUUUACAUUUACGCAUAAACUGUCUUGGUUGAUCAAUUUUCCUGGCGUGAUAAUACAUUUAAUUUCAUUUCCAUUGAACAAUUUCUGGUGUUUUAGCACCAACUCGGCAGCUCUUCUUGGAUCAUACUUGACAUGUCCUCAUAUUCUGUCAUGACAUGAUGCACAAUGGAUGUGAUUUAUUUUUAGACAGAUAAAAAAAUGUUAAAUUAUGUCAAGGACGACAGUGGAUGACAUUUUUAAUUUGGUGCGAUUUAGACUUACGGACCAAACUUUCUCCAUUUUCAAUGGGACGAUGAAUUCAAAAAAUGUGUGGAGAACAAUUAUUCAAGGUUAAAUGUUGCUUGGCAGGUGGAAUACUCGUCUAUCAAUAAAAGUACGGCUUUACACUCUGGCUUUCAUUAAAAAAAAUGAA